rnacentral:rRNA from 1 species
UACGGAGGGGGCAAGCGUUGUUCGGAAUCAUUGGGCGUAAAGGGCGCGUAGGCGGCCGACCAAGUCGGGUGUGAAAUCCCUCGGCUCAACCGAGGAACUGCAUUCGAUACUGGCUGGCUAGAGUCCGGGAGGGGAUGGUGGAAUUCCAGGUGUAGCGGUGAAAUGCGUAGAUAUCUGGAGGAACACCGGUGGCGAAGGCGGCAUUCUGGACCGAAACUGACGCUGAUGCGCGAAAGCCAGGGGAGCAAACGGG